CACUAGUUGUUGCUAUGCUAGACAUAGCAGUAAUGCAGUUAACACAGUAAGUGUGCCGCCUGGGGAGUACGGUCGCAAGAUUAAAACUCAAAGGAAUAGACGGGGACCCGCACAAGCGGUGGAGCAUGUGGUUUAAUUCGACGAUACGCGAAGAACCUUACCUGGCCUUGACAUAGACAGAAUUUCGCAGAGACGUGAAAGUGCUAGUUUACUAGAACUGUCAUACAGGUGCUGCACGGCUGUCGUCAGCUCGUGUCGUGAGAUGUUGGGUUAAGUCCCGCAACGAGCGCAACCCUCGUGUUUAGUUACUAACAGUUCGGCUGAGGACUCUAGACAGACUGCCUGGGCAACCAGGAGGAAGGUGAGGACGACGUCAAGUCAUCAUGGCCCUUACGGCCAGGGCUACACACGUGCUACAAUGGGGUAUACAAAGAGCUGCAAUACGGUGACGUGGAGCAAAUCUCAUAAAAUAUCUCCCAGUUCGGAUUGAAGUCUGCAACUCGACUUCAUGAAGUUGGAAUCGCUAGUAAUCGUAGAUCAGCAAUGCUACGGUGAAUACGUUCCCGGGUCUUGUACUCACCGCCCGUCACACCAUGGGAAUUGAAUUCAUUCGAAGCGGGGA
rnacentral:rRNA from 1 species